rnacentral:rRNA from 1 species
GACGAACGCUGGCGGCGUGCUUAACACAUGCAAGUCGAACGGAAAGACCCUGCUUUUGUGGGGUGCUCGAGUGGCGAACGGGUGAGUAACACGUGAGUAACCUGCCCUUGACUUUGGGAUAACUUCAGGAAACUGGGGCUAAUACCGGAUAGGAGCUCCUGCUGCAUGGUGGGGGUUGGAAAGUUUCGGCGGUUGGGGAUGGACUCGCGGCUUAUCAGCUUGUUGGUGGGGUAGUGGCUUACCAAGGCUUUGACGGGUAGCCGGCCUGAGAGGGUGACCGGCCACAUUGGGACUGAGAUACGGCCCAGACUCCUACAGGAGGCAGCAGUGGGGAAUAUUGCACAAUGGGCGGAAGCCUGAUGCAGCAACGCCGCGUGCGGGAUGACGGCCUUCGGGUUGUAAACCGCUUUCGCCUGUGACGAAGCGUGAGUGACGGUAAUGGGUAAAGAAGCACCGGCUAACUACGUG